rnacentral:lncRNA from 1 species
CGUUGGGGUGAGAAGGACUAGUCCAAGAAAGCAGGGAUAUAUUAUGACUUAUGAAUUCCAAAUUGUGUGACCCUAGCAACUGUAUGAAUUAAAUUCUCUGAAUUUCAGUUUAAUAAACUAUACAAGGGGGAUGAUAAUCUCUUCAUUAGAUGGUUUUGCAAAGCACUCAGUUAAUGACUGUCAAAAUUAAAGUAUGAGUUCAACAAAUGUUCUUUUCUUAGAAAAGGGGGCUAAUUUCUUCUCACCAUGAAUACUUAUUGAUUAGAGAAGAAGUAUCUCUGUUAAAAUUUAAAUCAUUAAAAAUAAACGGUUUAAGAAAAGGUCACAGGGAAAAUGGUAAUACUCUUCCCUGUGUUUUACAUAAUAUUCAAAAGUCUGUUAGUAAUCCUAGGGAGGACAGGAAGUUCAAAUACACUACUGUUUUAAUUUUGUCUAACAACUAGAGAAUUAAGCUCACCUUUCCAGGCAGAUUGCUGUACUAAGCCUUUCCGAGAUGGAAAUUCUGGAGCUUCUACUGAGCAUAUCCUGUGUCCUCUCCCUCCCUCUUUACCUCCCUUUCCUCUCUCUCUCCUUUCAUUUCCCUCUCCCUUUCCAUUCCUUCCAUUUAUUAUGCAGUUGAUUCUGUUUUCUCCACCUUUAAUUACAUCAUUAUGACUGCUUUCAAAAUGAAACUUUCUUUCUGCUCAUAACAUUAAUACCUGUUUAUUGAAGAAUAUAAACAAAAAUUAUAAUAUAUCCAUCACCAAGAAAUGAACACUCUUACCCACUUGAAGUCUUUUCCCCUAGUGUUUGUUCCCUUUCUUUCUCUCUCCAACUGAUCUAGUCAUAUAUUUUAGUAUAGUUACAUGGAAAAAUGGGAUCCUUCUUUAAAAUACAUAUCAAUGGAGUUCCCAUUGUGGCUCAACAGAAAACGAAUCUGACUAGUAUCCAUGAGGAUGCAGGUCCAUCCCUGGUCUUGCUCAGUGGGUUAAGGAUCUGACAUUGUCAUGAGCUGUGGUGUAGGUUGCUGAUGUGGUUUGGAUCUGGUGUUGCUAUAGCUGUGGUGUAGGCCUGUGGCUACAGCUCCAAUUUGACCCCUAGCCUGAGAACCUCCAUAUGCCACAGAUGCGGCUCUUAAAAAAAAAAAGACAAAAAAAAAAUCAAUAUUUCUUUACUUCAGAUCACUUUUCAAUAUCAUUAAAUAAUCUUUGAAAACAUGAUUUGUAAAAUAUGCAAAAUAUUCUUUCUUAAGCAUCCAAUGUAAAUUAGUUAAGCUAAUAUUUGACAUAGGCAUUGUUUCUAGCUUUUUGUCUAUUAUAAAUAAUAAGGCCUUGACCAUUCCCAAAUAUAAAUAAUUUAUGAAUCUUUGAUAAUCUCGAGUACUGGAUCAACUGAAAAAAAAUAUUGUUAAUAUUCUUAAUUCAUUUUCAAACAGCCCUGCAAAACACUUAUACCCUAGAAAGCUUAUUGAGUGCUUUCUGAUAAUGAUUACAGUUCCUAUUUAUUUAUUUUUUUUUUUUUUUAGGGCUAAACCCAGGGCAUAUGGAAAUUCCCAGGAUGGGGGUUGAAUCAGAGCUACAGCUGCCUGCCUAUGCCACAGCCACAGCAACGCAAGAUCUAAGCUGCCUCUGUGAUCUACACCACAGUUCACGGCAACGCCAGAUCCUUAAUCCACUGAGCAAGGCCAGGGAUCAAACCUGCAUCCUCAAGGAUCCUAGUCAGAUUCUUUACUGCUGAGCCACUAUGGGAACUCCCUCCAGUUUAUUUAAAAGUAGACUAUGUAUUUAUUAUUUUUUACUUAUUUAUUUGCUGUAUCUGUGGAUCAAAUUCAUGAUUUAAGUUGCUCCUUUCAGUAGUAAUUCUGUUUGUGAUUUUUAUUAUUAUUUUACAAAUUACAUAAAUUUUACAAAUAAUAAUAAUAAUAAAAUAAUUUACUUUAUGUAGUAAAUGAUUUUGUGACUAUAAGUAUCACCGACCUAAACAUGAUGAAAGAUGAAAUAAAUGCAGUUUUAGACAGGCCAAGACAAUCAUUCUAGAAUUAGUGACAGGCUGAACUAUUGAGGAUUGAUUUUAUUGGACUUUUUCUUUUUUUGCUGUAAAUUAUUUACCAACUCAAGGAUAGCUGAACACUUUUCUGUUUUCUGCAGAUGGUGCCCAGUAUAAAAUCAUUUCUCUAAUGCAAUGCAUAAGGUGAUGUGUUAUAAAUUCGUAAAAUAUAAAAUAAUGCAUUUGUCAGAUGCUGCCAGAAAUAAAGGGAAAUGUGUUUUUCUUCUUUUUCUUUUGUAAGUAAAUAGCAGGAUUUAGUUUGUCACACUGGUGAAAAUUUCUUUAUAAGUCUUUGCUAAGUGCCAGUGUUCCUGCUUUGCUCAGUCAGCAAGUUUGAAACCUCAAAGGGCAUUUGGCUAUAUCACAGGAGAAAGGUAAAGACGGGGAGAGGAUGGAUUCCUAGACUUAUGUGUAGGGUUCAAUUUGGGAAACUACCUGAAAACUACAAGGAGGGGAAUAGAAAGGAUGAACGUUCAUGCAACAAUGGGGAGAGAGAGAUUUUUAUUUUAAAAAUGAUGUAGGAGAGUUCCCUUCAUGGCUCAGGGGUUAAUGCUCCCAACUAGGAUCCAUGAGAAUGCGGGUUUGAUCCCUGGCCUCAUUCAGUGGGUUAAGGAUCUGCCGUUGCUCUGAGCUGUGGUGUAGGUCGAAGACGUGGCCCAGAUCCCGAGUUGCUGUGGCUAUGGCGUAGACUGGCAGCUACAGCUCUGAUUCAACCCCUAGCCUGGGCACGUCCAUAUGCUGCGGGUGCAGCCCUAAAAAGCUAAAAAAAAGAAAAAAAAAUUAGGAAGAGAGAAAGAAGGAAAGAAAGAGAGGCAGGGGAGAAAGGGAGGAGGGAAGAAGGAAGGAAGGGGGAGAGGAAAGAGCCAGAAAGAGAAAAGAGCUUCUCUGGAGAAAAAGAAAUAAACCUUCAUGAAAAUGACUCCAGUAUACCUCCUAAUCUGGAGCAAUAUAGUUUAAAUAUAGUUCCUAAUCUGUAGUGGAAAACACAUGAAUGAAGAGACAUCAAUAUUGCUUCCAGAGCAUAGGACACUAACAUGGCUAAGAGCACCACAGCUCAGAAGGGCAGACUGAAGCUUGAAUGCAAGUAUAGUUUUAUUUGAGCCACAAGAAUUUUGUAUCUUUUUCCCUCUUGCUUCUUUCUCUCCCCUUUGACCCUCUGUGUGGGUGCUAAGCUUAUUGUAGAUUUAUAUCCUAUGGAAAUGUUCAGUGUAUGAAAAUAGCAAUCAGAACCCAAAGAAAUUCACUUUGUGAGCCUUCUCUUGAUAAUAAAUAGAUCUAGGACUUUCCUUUUAAAAUAAUGCUCCUGGUUGAUAUUUGAAAAUUAUGGAAUUAUUUAUUUGAUGUUGUAUUUAUCACUAGCCUCUCUGUAGCCUCCUCAUUUAAAAUGCAUUGAUUCCUGAAGGUUAGCAAAGAUCCUAUUUUAUGUGAUCUUCUUACAUGAUAGUAGCAAUUUGGUCAGUGCAAUGUUGAAUUUCAUUGAGCCAAAAUGAAAUCUCCUCUUACCUGUAUUUCUGUAGUAUUUCACACACUGGCCAUAUUAUUUAUUUAUUUGCUUUUUUUUUUUUUUUUUUAAAGGCUGCACCUGAGGCUUAUGGAAGUUCCCAGGCUAGGGGUCAAAACAGAGCUGCAGCUGCCAGCCUACACCACAGCCACAGCAACAUGGAAUCUAAGCCCUUCCUACACCACAGCUCAUGGCAAUGCCUGAUCGUUAACCCACUGAGAAGGUCAGGCAGGGAUCAAAGGUGAAUCUUCAUGGAUACUAAUCGGGUUCAUUACUGCUGAGCCUCACCAGAACCUCCUGGUCAUAUUAUUUCAAAAUGGAACUAUUUCAGACUCAGUUUUGUUGGAGACCCCUAAGAUGAUUUUUGGAGAGAACUGUAAGUGUGCUUUAAAUUAUCUUUCUCCCCUAAUGCCCUACCCAUGGAAGAGGUGGGGGGACACUUGUCCCCCACAUCAAGAUGGUAUAUGUUCCUUGGAGCUUGGUGAACUAGCGUCUGACUCACAUCUGAUAAACCAAAGAAUGAGAGGCCAUGUAACUACUGUGAUGGCGGUUUCAGGAGGGCUUAAAACACUGGGCAGUCUCUGCCUCCAGAGUUGUCUGGACAAAGGCUGCCUGGGCAGUAUCUGUAUGCCAGAUAAAGGAAAGCUGACUACAAUCAUGUUCAAAGAAGACUGAAAGUCCUGGAAAACCCAACAGCUUACCACUAUGAGAGAUAGUGUCCAUCAUAGGCAGUGACAGUGGUGGGAAUGAAUGGGCAUUAUCACAGAGCAGGAGGGGCUGGAGUCCAUGGAAUCAGUGAUGCCCAGGAAGGCAAGACAGAUUCCUGGGAAGAACACCUCUGCAGUGCACAUGUAAGACCUGCCUGGAGGCUCUCAGGGAGGUUUUUAAAAACCCUGGGGAAAUUUUACAACACUGUGCAUGACCAGAAUUCUUGGCUUAAAGUUGAGGAUUAGAGGAGCCAAAUUUGCAAAUGUAUAAAGGUAGGCGAAGAGUUUGCCCAGACAGGUGAAACAGCACAUAUAUAGGCCCUGAAGACAUACUUUACAGACUGACCUAAAAUCAGCACAGUCCUCCUAGGCGGAAUUUAGGGGCAGACUUAAGGAUAGGCUAAGAUGAGAACUUGUGGCUGCCAUUUCUCUGCUAAAGACAGGACAUCAAAUUUUGAAGACUAUAGCAUCAUAAAACUAUCUGAAAAUGCUAUCUUUUGCCCCAAUAUUUACUCUAUUAGUGGUGAUAUAAUUAUUUUGAAGAUAUAAAACUUAAAUUUGAAUGUUCUCUCAGAGUAUAGCACCGUCUUAUGACAUACAAUUCACACCACAUUCACUAAUAAUUAGGUAUUGAAUUAUUAAAAAGAGGAUAUAAGAUUGUCUGCUUCCUACCACUAGGACACACUUGGCCCCACAAAAAUCAUAAAAAUUAAAUGACUGAAAAAUCUUCAAAUAGAAUGAGUCAUGAAGUUCCCAUGGUGCCGAAGUGGAAACUAAUCUGACUAGUAUCCAUGAGGAUGAAGGUUCAAACCCUGGCC